rnacentral:rRNA from 1 species
CGGAUCGGAGUCUGNAACCCGACUCCGUGAAGCUGGAUUCGCUAGUAAUCGCGCAUCAGCCAUGGCGCGGUGAAUACGUUCCCGGACCUUGUACACACCGCCCGUCAAGCCAUGGGAGCCGGGGGGUGCUUGAAGUGCGUCGCCGCAAGGCGCGCCCUAGAGCAAAACCGGUGACUGGGGCUAAGUCGUAACAAGGUAAC